rnacentral:rRNA from 1 species
UACGGAGGGGGCUAGCGUUAAUCGGAAUUACUGGGCGUAAAGCGCGCGUAGGCGGCUUUGCAAGUCGGGUGUGAAAUCCCCAAGCUUAACUUGGGAACUGCAUUCGAGACUGCAUUGCUAGAGUAUGGGAGAGGGAAGUGGAAUUUCCGGUGUAGCGGUGAAAUGCGUAGAUAUCGGAAGGAACAUCAGUGGCGAAAGCGACUUCCUGGACCAAUACUGACGCUCAUGUGCGAAAGCGUGGGGAGCAAACAGG